CUGGAAACAUCUAUGACUGCCAUUCAGGCAGCCCAAGUAGCCCUUUGUUACAGCAGGUAAUAUCAGUUUCAGGGUCCACAGGGUGGAACUGGGGACCUUAGGCUGUUUCUAGGUGAGUCUGCAAAAGUUACUGAAAAAGGCGAGUUCAGCUGUACAGUAAUCUACAGAUUUCUCUAAAGACCUUCAGAGACUGACCUUUUGUUUUGUUUUGUUUUUUAAGAGCCCACAGAUAAAGUUGAAAAUUAUUCCCCUAGAAAAGUGUGCUACUGAGAAUGUGAAAUGCAGCAAAGAUUUCACAAAUGGUUCAUCAAACUGUAGGAUGCCAAGAGAACAAAAUAUUUCAUCUCUGUGUGUUUCAGAUUGUGGAUUGUGGAUAGAUUUUAGACCAAGAUUUUAUUAAGGACUUGUGAAGACAUGAUCGAUAUUUCUUUGGUGGGUUUGCUUCCUAGGCUGCCUGCAUUUGACAUGGUGACAUGAUUUUUGUUAUUUGUGUGUGGUGGGAAACUUUGAAAUUUUGAAGUUGUUUUCAGGCUUUAGAACAAACUCUUUACUUCAGAUUCCAUUUUAAAUAAUCCUUUAGACAGGAGCAGUAUUCUACAAGCUCCCUUUAGAUUCUGGGAGCCUGAUUUAGCUUUCAGAAUUUUUCAUUAGGAGGAAAUUUGGAAUCAUAGACAAAAACUGAAAAGAUGUGGCAAAAAGCAUGUCAAGAUUUCCUCAGGAGAUGCUGCUUUUAAAAGUUAUUAUUUUGAUUGUUAUUAUCAUUUUUAUUUUAAAAGGCCAUUUUUUCUCUAGGAAUUAAAAAAACCCUCAAGACUCUUCCCCUUAUCCCCCAUUUUCUAUGUGUUGACUCGGAGGUCUUGUUUGUGCUUCAGGAAGGAUUGCAUGUGCAGCCGAGUGUAUGUGAGAGCAGGAGUUUUUGCUGUGGUGACGUGUCUGUGUUUUGGAGUGUGUCAGUGUCCAAGUGUAAUGGGCUUGUCUUUAUUGAUGUGCUUUACGAUGGAUGGAUUGCGGAUCUGACAGGUGCUUUCUGUGUGUUUGUAAAGCUGCAUAGGGCUCAGCACCGCAAGGCCCCGAUCCUGAUCAGAAGCCCCAAAACAUCCCUAACGUUCAGCUGCAGCUGGCUCCUGCCCCCUUUAUUCCUGCCGAUGUGUACUUUAACCAGCGACUAGUUUGCCUUGAGCUGCUAGGAAUAUUUGUGAACUGUGCAACACAAAUGAUGCAGGGCAAGGCAAGGCUUGAAAAAUCCAGUCAAGAAUUAGAGCUGUGCGGUAUUAGAGCUUGGCAGUGUUUCCCACUGGAAAAAUGGAUUUUUAGUGACACAGUGUGUCUCUCUUUAAAAAUCUGAAUUCAAAAGAAAAAUAUGCUCUUCGGAAGUUUCUGCUGAAACUGGAGAAUCAUCACAUUUUCAAUAUGGAUUUUUGUGUGUGUGUUUUGAUUGUUUGUGGUUUUUUGUCUGUUUGUUUGUUUGUUUUUGAGAAGAACCCACAAAAAGUAUUCCUCCUCCUCUCUCCAAAUAGAUGAAAAUAAAAGUUACAGCUGACAUUAGUUUUUCCAUGGGCAGAAGAACAUUUUUACUAAUGGUAAUUAGCACUAAUAUUAUUAAUGUUACUCUCUUGCUAGUAGUAUUAAUACAGGCAUCUGCUUGUAUGCUCAGACUUAAUGUAGAACAGUUUGCCUUUCUGAAGGCAUUUGGUCCUACAGCCAGGGCAUGCGAGAAUUUGGGGUCCUGUUGUAGGUGUGACAUUGCCAGUGCUAAAUACAGCUGUGCAAAAGCACUGAAAGAGAUCGAGUGAACCUCUGUCUGUAUUUGCAUUAAACUCUUCAUGUCACCAUGUGGGUAAAAGGCACAUCCAUGCGGAUAUGUUGCUAGUCCUUUGCAUCUUGUCCGAAUGCCCUGCUCAAGCCAGCUGCCCAGGACCAUGUCCAGGCGUCCCUGGCUGUGGUUGCAAGCGCAAGGGAAGUUACAAGGCUCAGUUAGGCAGCACUGGCCCUGUCAGUAAAUCAUUGUGCAGUUCAGGCUUUUUUUAUCCCUGGAUUGGACUCCGUAGAGAAUCAGACAGGCUGUGCUGAGCUGGUCCCAUCUGCACCCAACCUGGACAGCAGCUUUAUCUUGCCUUGUAAAACUGCAGAGCUCUGUGACAAAAGAGUUAAUCUCUGCCUUUGUUUCUCUUCCUCUCUCUCUUCUCUCUUGCAGCGGGACUGAAAGGCAAGAUGAGAGCAGAUCCAUCAGUGUCAGCUGCUUUCGGCACAUCAGCACUUUUGGGGGGUUUAUUGGGGACUAGCCCAUCAGCAGUGCUUCCAAACUGCAAACACACUGCAGCCAGGUCCCUCCUCCCAUGCAGCAGCCAGCCUGCCUGGGGAAGCAACGCUGGGACCCCAGUGCCACUGACCAGGGGCUGGGCGAUAAAUGACCCCGUGAGGCAUUUCCAUGGCUGGUGAAGUCCAGAGGGUAGGGCAGAGCCAAGCUCCUGGGGAGGCAGCAAUGAAACCAUAUUAAUUUCUGGGCAUGCAUCCAUGUGUGUCUGUGUGUCUGUACUGUCUGAAAUAAUACACUUGACACACACACACACACGCUUCACUUCCAAAACAGAGUAACACAGAAGAGGGGUGAAAGAGAGAAAACAAUCUGAUUGACAGGUUAAUGAAGCAGUUCAUAAUAACAAUGUAUAUUAUAACCUUAGAAACAGCUUGUAAAUACCCACUUGCUUUACACGUAUAAACACACUCCAUGCCUCAGUCUCUUGUAUAUACAUUUGCUUAUAUAUUAAAUGAUGUGCCUGUGUAUAUGCAUAUCUGAAAGAUGCAGGAAUCUGAAAUCAAUCUGCAGUGAAAACAAAGAAUAAAUGGAAGGUGAUAAAAAAUAAGCUUCAUUGGCCUAGCAGCCUUAUAUAUCCUCUGCUUUUGUUUUACUCCUAAGGCUGAAAGUCUUUCAAAGCCGUGGAGGGGUAUGGGAGCACACAUCUCACUGACUGGCACUCCUAAGCUCCCUUGGUAGUCUUGAAAACUCCACCUGUGGUGUUUUUGUUUUUUAAUCCCAGGGUCUUGGGCAGAGCAGCCUCAGCCCAUCCAUGCAAGGCUGGGAAGUCACAUUAGCAUGAGCAGAUUGGAGUUUGAACCCAGAUGUAAUCCAGGGGUUUGACUAAUUCCUCAUCACAUCGGUAUGUCACUCUUUGAGAAGCUAGAUGUAUCUUUUACUAGGCAGAUAUUUGGAUGUCUUUGUUCAUUUCUGUAUUGUAUAUAUCUGUGGGAAUUUCCCGAUGUACUCUGGACUGGGGCAAUCACACAAGAAUUCUUUCUCUCUUUUGUGGGACCUAUUAGCAAAUAUAAAUAGCGACAUACUGAGCUCUUGUUGGAUGGGCAACAACCCCAGGAUCUGAAAAACCAAGUUCAGCAUGAUUAAGGACCUUUAGCUUUUCAUUUAAUGACUCUGCUUUUACUUGUAAGCCUCAAUUUUACAGUAAGAUAUUUCCCCCGAGUUCUUUUCCUAGCUUCUCUUAGAGAAAAAGAGAAGAUUAUUAAGACGUUUCUCAUACACACAAAGGAGUGUCAAAGUUGCCAGUUCCAAGUAAAAGCCAAGCAAUAUUUCUAAGCGUCUCAACUGUGGAUUAAAAAAAAAAAAAAAAUCAAAGAUCCAAGUAAGUGCACUGGGAAGGAUCAGAACCAGCACAUUGAUAGAACUCGACCUACACAAUGGAAAGGCAACUUUAUCACAUUGAAGUUUGGUUCAGACUUGAACUCUUGUGAAAAUCCUCAGCAAAUUCUCCUCUAAGACUAUACAAUUAAGUUCCUGGCCUCAGGUCUUCUGGGAAGAGUUGUGCCAGGUAUUUCCUUCCCUGAUGUGAAUUCCAAGGUGAAUGCACUUCAGAGGUGGGAUAUGUGUGGAGACUGCUUGUGUGACAUGUGUUGGAACCAUGCAAGGAGCACAGGUAGACAUGCAUAUCUUGGGCAAUGUGCAAAUGACCACAUCUGUGAGUCUCUAGCCACACAUGCUGGUGCUUUUGCCACAGCACUAAGGGAUCCUUUUGACUAUAAUGCAACUAGUGCUGUCUUGGUCUGGCUCUUGACCACAGAUCUUGAGGAGCUUCUGAUCUGAGGAGUUUACAGGCAAAACAUUCAAGCCAAGCAUUUUUCUGUUAACUUUUAAACUGCGGAAGAGAGGUGACUUGUCCACGGUCACGUGCAAAGCUGAAGGCAGAGCUAGGAAUAAGACUUGAAUCUCCAGCAAGGUAAGCUUGUUCUUUCUAUUUCUGUCUAGACCAAACAAUUAUGCUAAAGCAACACUGGCUGAACAUUUGUACAGAAGCAAAUAGCUGUGUGGCUUAGUCUUUAGGAGGAUCAUAGCUCUGUAACUGGGAAUCCUCUGGCUUUGGGUGCAAUUCGAACUGCUAAGAAUACCAUUCUGCCUAGCAUCCCCUGUUCUUCUCUAAGCUCCCUCUUCCUCUGUCCCCUAGGAUUAGAGUCUGUAGUUGCUCUCCACAAGCAUUUUAAUCUCUUUUUGUAAGAUGGAGGAUAGCAAACUGACUUGAGCUAUUUUGGGAGCUAUUUUGGGUGUUCUUGCAUCAGAGACUUGCCCUUAAUUCUCCACCAGGUUGGACUGUCAGGUUUGAACAGGCUGAUGCUGCUUGUGCAAUUCUCUCCUCUGCCCCAGAGAACAGAGUGGGGGGCAGUUAGUUUUAUGUGGGAGCAGUAGGUUGAGGGAUGGGAGCUGGCAAGGUCUCUCUGUCUUUGGUGUUAAGGAGGAGAGGGCUAUGCACAGCAGUUUAGCUGUCUUCUACCAUCCAGGCCAGCCAGCCAGAUCCGGGAGGCCUUCCCAAUCAGCGCAGUGAGCUCAGCUUUGCUGUCAUCAGCACUGCUGAGAGCAGAAGCUGGAGAUGGGUGAAUCCAAAUAUCCGGAUCACAUGGAUAUUGGCUGGAAAUGUUCCACCAUGUCCGGGUGGCUGCCUUUGCGUGAUAUUCAUGCUUGUCAGAAAAUUAAUUAUUCCAUUCACCAGGCUCUCUGAGCCAAGAGGAUUACCUCUCAGUACCUGGAGCUCCUCCUGGGGGUGGUGUGUGUGAGGGUAUGUGUGUGAGCAUGCCUGCUUGCUGAGAGGGUGUGUGUGUUGUGAACAUAGAUGUGUACAGACAGCAAGCUAUUGUGUAUGGCUGUAGGCACAGGGAAGGAGUUGCACAGGUGAUGCUGGAAUGAGGAAGAUGCCUUGCUCUCCGUGUGUGAGAGCGUGCCCUUGGAGAUACUGAGUGGCUUUGUCUGCAUAUCACAGAGAGGAAUAUUUCCCUCCAGGUAAGGUGAGCUGGGUGCAGGGCCUGGCUAGGCAGCAAUAUGUUCCUUGGCUUUGGCUUUAUGUAUGUAAGAGGCAUAUACAUGGCCUAGACCGUGUCCCCAUGCUUUUUAGAUCUGCCUUCAGAAAGGCUGAUGUGUGUUUGACACAAGCCUAAAUCUGCCCAUAGUUUCCAUUGUACUUGUGCUGAGAAAAAGGAAAAAGCUGAUGUGUAUACACUGAGUAUUGAAAAGCUGCAUAUGAGGUGGAAGAUCUGGCAUCACCCAGCAUCCCAAUGGUAUGUGUGAUUUUGGAUGCAUUUGAUUCUGUCUGUGGCCCUCCUAAACACAGCUUCAGUUCUUGUCUUCCUAAUUUUGCAGCUGAUCAGCCCCAUGUACAUCAGUGGGUAACUUAAUACCAGCAAGCAAGCAGAAUCAGGUCUUGUGAUAUUUAGAAGUAAAACCUUUUCACUCCGGUCUGAAAGUUUUCCGGAGAUCCUCUAAGGAUCACAGGAAGGUCUUAUCCGAUAUGAGGCAGUGUCAUCUGUAUGUGUGCUGGGGUUGGGGUUUUCCAACUGCAACAGCAAGGAGUGAUCUCUCCUGGAAAGCAAAACUACUUAAUUGUGACUUGACUCUGAGAGCACCCUGAUUGGCUCUGCUACGCAGCACAGCACUGAGUUUCAGGCUUGAGGUAUUCUUGGAAAUUUGUAUUAUUAAUUGAAAGCUUAUUAAUGGCAAACACAGGAUGACAUUUUACAUGGUUUAGUUAUGUUCUGUGAGUCAUUGGUACAACACAGCCUCAGCCACAAGGCAAGGAAGCUCCUGCCAUAACUGCUAACAGAGAAGUAAUAACAGCUCAGUUCCCGCUAACUGGUCCUGGGGCGACAGGGACAGCCCUUGCAAGUGUCUGAUCAUCUCCUCCCUGGUGGCCGCUCAUCCUGGGGUUUAGGGAAGUCUCAGAGGAGGGCAAACUUAUUCACUGAGGUAAUAAGCAUUCUGGUUUGUUACCAAUGGGCUCAAGAACUUCGCCUUCUACAACUGCCUGGCAUUGCCUUUAAAAAUAUAAAGGCCUUGAAGUCAGGGAACUGCUGACAUCACACUGGAAGUUAGUAGCCCCAUGUCUAGAGCAGAUGUGAUGCUCUAUAUGAUGAAACUUUGGGUGCUGGACUAUAGCUGAAUUUUCUAGAGUAAAGCUUAUGUCCCAUUCUCCCAUGUUUGAGACAUGGGUCAGUCUGCAUCUGGUUUAUAUGGUAUUGGGGAAAGCAUGCAUGUUUGGAAGAGAAUUGACUGUUGCUUCUAUGCUGCAAAAGAAGUCCUUUUCCUCUGCCGAGCUCCAUAGAUGGGCAGUGCCUUAUAUCUAAAAAUCAAAAUGAGAUUCCUGUUGAGACAAGAACAGAAAAAGUCUCAGAUUCUUAAGAUACUGUUAAAUAAAGUGGCAUUUUCCCAGUCAUCAUAUGCACACGGCUACUGUAUUCACCUAGUUCAUGAAGGGUACGUCUUCUUUAAGCAGAUUUCUGAAGACCAUCUACCAGAGUUGUGUUUGUCUUUCUUAUUGCUAUAGGCACGGGCAAAGCAGGCAUACUGCUAGGAGAGGCACUCCUGUGAGCCACAGACAUGGAUCUGCAGCCUCUUUAGUCUGGGAAGAAACACAAGUUGGACAAAACCCUCAAAUAUCUACAUCAGUCCUCCUGGUCCCCUCUUCCCCACUGCUAUGUGUGCAUGCUGUCCUCUCUGCCAGAACUCCCUGGGUCUUUCCCAGGCACAUCGAGGACACCUGAGCUCAGUGUUGUCACAGGCGGUGUUUGCUCAUGUUGCUGAAGUUCUUCAGGGAGGCACUUACUCUUCACAAGCUCUGCUUUGGCCCUCAGAAAGGGAGGCAAGAGUUUAGAGACUUUUCCUGCCAAAGCUUAGCCUUGAGGUGGGAAAUCCACCCUCUGGGAGGGCAGAAGCAAGGGAGGUGAUGGCGGGGAACCACCCACCAUCUGAGUCUGUAGAAACAGAAUUACAUCCUGCCCCUCACAAGGAGUAUCUGCACAGACUAAUGGGAAUUUCCUUGAGGAACUCCACAGCAUCUGUCAGAUCUAUAGCUCUGCAAGACACAUAUGGUCUGUCACCCAUAUUCAGUGCUGUAGUCUCACUCUGCAACUAUCAGCUUCGUCAAUGGCUGGAGCUGAGUACAAAUGAAGUCCUCUCUGCAACUGCAGAGAGCUGUACAGGGGAAUAUAGACAGCAAAGCUCCUCUGCACUCCCUUGUACAGCAGCAGAGUUAUUUCCACAAAGGCAUAACGGGCACUGGGAGGAGAUUAUAGGCCAAGUGCUUAAACUCUUCCACUCUGGUUUAGCAAGAGCCCUACAGCUGUGGACUGUCUGAUGCCAGCAAAUAAACCAGAUGGAUGACAGGGAUGGAGACAGGCCAAGCUGGGAUGAAAAGCACAGUGUGUCCUCCUGUCUUAAUGGGCUUCUGGAAGAUGAAGUAGCACAAGCUGGAAAGAGCCUUCAGCUGCAAAGCUCCCUGUGUUGAGGACAUCAUUUUAUGGAUUGACUGUCACAAAGGACUGCUGGAAAACCUCAAGUGCUUCACUCCACGACUGUUCAGGGUCCCCAGAAUCUGGCUUCCUUCAAAACCCAAGCCCAGGGCACUGUUAGUGACAAAACUCUGCAGCGUGACCAUUUGAUGAGGCCAUGAUUGUGGAAAGAUGCAAAAAGAGUUGCUCUGUUUCAGGUGGAUCACCAGGAAGUGUUGAAGUAUAAAGGUACAGUCAAGUCAGGGAUGGGGUUUGCUCUGAGGAGGAGCCAGCUGGAAACUGUCAGUGGCGGGGAGGAAGUUGCAUGAAAAUCUUGGUACUUGUAGCUUGUUAUAUAAUUACCUCUUGCAGAGUUUGUUGGGGGUUUUUUUGUUUGUUUUUUUUUUUCCUGAAUUUCAGUCACUGUUGGAGACAGGUUAUGGGCUUAGACAGACCACUGGCUGGACAGCCUGGUAUUUCCUGCAUUCUUACUUCCACAGAUCCUCUAAUUGCCCUGCCGCCUGGCUUUGUCCUCCUAUUGUGUCUCACUGUGAGGACAGUCUAUGUCCGAGAUUGUUGUGGAAUUUCUACAGACAGCUUAUAGUGAUGUUUUCAGAGACCUCCAACAUGUUCCUCACCAUCCUGUUGCAUUUGCUAAAUCUGCUGGGGCUGAGGGUCAUCUCUCACUUCACAUGGGAUAAAUGGAUAGUGGCACAGUAAAAUCGAUUGUGUUGAAAUGGCUCCAUUUUGAUUACAAUAAGAGGGCAUUUUGGAUCCAUGUUUCUGUUGUGGUGUCUCACAAGCUGUCCUUAAAUCCUGGUGGUUUUUUUGGUAAAGAUUUCUGAUGGUAUUUUGGUAUUUUGAAGUCUAUCCCAUCCCAUAAACUUGCUACUAGAUUCAGCAAACUUUUCAGAGAUUUUCUGUGUGUUUCGAGGGAAGUUCUUAAUGCUGCGUCUUGUAGCCUGCAUGUUUGCUGUGGCUGGAUUUUUGUGGGGCCACAACUGUUGUCUUAGAGAGUAGAGGCGUGCUAAAAGAUCCACUAUGGCUGUAAUUUGUUUUUCACCCACCCAUCAGUGUGGGUGAAGAAGCAUUUUGGGAAGCAUCACUAGAUUUAUGGUCAUUUGCUUGUGUCUCCUAUUGUCUGUCUUUUCCUGUCCUACCUCAUCUGAUUAAGGGCUAGUUUCUGGUAGCUUUCUUACUCCCUUGAAAAGGUGCCUUAUGUCACUGGAAGUCUGGGGAAAUCAGGCACAUCGUACCCCAAGACUCCUUUGAACCUGAGCCUCUGCUCUCAGAUUUGCUUCUGCUGCCUGGUACCUUGGCCUCGCUGCAGCAUGGCAUUAGAGCACUAAAGUGCUCAGACAGGAUAAAUCAAUGUGUGUCUGCUGAUUUACACCACUGCAAGGUUGAGCCCAGAUCAGAUAGAGAGCAGAGAACCCUCCAACAGUCUCUUGAAAGAAACCACAGGCAGGUAUUUCAGCCCAGUUAGCUGUGCAUUCAGUUGUGGCUUUUGCUACAGAGUAAAACUAGUUUUUCCAAAGGACACCAGUAGCAGCCUCUUAAAAAAAGAGUUGUGGCCCCUCCCUGGUGACCUUUCCUUGUCAAAUGCUACAUGCUGUGAUGUUCCUACACAAUAGAGAACACUCUGGUCUCUGUGUACUUGGCAAACGAAGAAAUGGCCUUUUUAAUCUCAUUGCAUGAAUUAUUGGCAAAACGUUUGAAGUGGCUCCAAGAUUUCUCUCUGGCUGACUUGCAUUUUCUCAGGAGAUUUGUGUAGUUUGGGAGUUUGGAACGUGUAACUGAGUGACUCUGAGAAAGCAUUUGCUACCUUUUGAAAGGCUGCCGUGUCCUUGCAGAAAAGGUAUUUCAUCUGCUGCAUCAACACCCCCUUGCAGAGGACAAGCCUUGUUGGGCGUAACAUGCUGUGUCCCCUCGAAGGAUGCUUACCCCUUCUGCUGCCCCGCCUGGCCCUUGGUGCAGCAUUACCUGGGGCAGUGCUGCCUGCAGACACUGAUGUGGCUUCACCCUCAGCCAAGCCGUGGACGUGGGCGCAGGGCUCUGCCAUGCCACGCCUUGGGCAAACCUAAGCGUGAGCCAACACUUGCUCUGGCUAGUCUACAGAGACGAGACAUGUAAACACAGGCAGCAGCAUGGGGUCGUGUAUUGAGGAAGUGCCAGAGCUGGGAUUGAGACCUGUGGUCCUGCUGCUGCAGCCCCAUCAGCUAUGAGGUAGGGGGAGGACAAC